rnacentral:rRNA from 1 species
CUCUCUCGUUGCUGAUCUCAGGUUCGAUAAUGCCAAAUCGCACCACCUCGCCUAAAACCAACUUCGAUGAAGCGACGGGCGGUGUGUG